rnacentral:rRNA from 1 species
AGACAGUUAAUUAAGCAAUUAGAUGUACUAAUUAACUAGAGUUUAAUGUAAGAAGGAUUGAGUACGGUGAGAGUAGNGAUAAAAUUUUUUGAUACCACUUAGGAACUGGUAACAGCGAAGGCUACCUUCAAUGUAAAAAACUGACGUUAAGGGACGAAGGCUUGUAACAAAUAAUAGGAUUAGAUACCCUAGUAUUUUGAGCAGAAAAUGAUGAGUGUCAUAUACAAGAUAAAUCUUUUGUGUAUAAAUGAAAGUGUAAGCACUCCACCUCAAGAGUAACGUGGCAACAUGGGAACUGAAAUCAUUAGACCGUUUCUGAAACUCGUAGUGAAGUAUGUUGUUUAAUUUGAUGGCCCUCAAAUAACCUUACCACAAUUUGUAUAACUAUUGUACGAUAGUUACAAGCGUUGCACGGCUGUCUUCAGUCAAUAUUGUGAAACUUUGGUUAGAUCCAUUUAAUUGACGUAAACCCUUACUUUAAUUAUAUUAAAGUAGUUCGCCGCUAUAUUGGUAGUGAUAUAAGGGACUAGGACAAGUCAU